rnacentral:rRNA from 1 species
ACGGGAGGCAGCAGUGAGGAAUAUUGGUCAAUGGGCGGAAGUCUGAACCAGCCAUGCCGCGUGCAGGAAUAAGGCCCUAUGGGUCGUAAACUGCUUUUGUGGUGGAGCAAUAAGGCGCACGUGUGCGUCGAUGAGAGUACAUCACGAAUAAGCAUCGGCUAACUCCGUGCCAGCAGCCGCGGUAAUACGGAGGAUGCAAGCGUUAUCCGGAUUUAUUGGGUUUAAAGGGUGCGUAGGCUGUGCUGCAAGUCAGUGGUGAAAUCCCCGGGCCUAACCUGGGAACUGCCAUUGAUACUGCGGUGCUGGAAUACGGAUGCCGUGGGAGGAAUGAGUAGUGUAGCGGUGAAAUGCAUAGAUAUUACUCAGAACACCGAUUGCGAAGGCAUCUCACGAAUCCGUCAUUGACGCUGAGGCACGAAAGCGUGGGGAUCAAACAGGAUUAGAUACCCUGGUA